rnacentral:misc_RNA from 1 species
AGCAGCCGCGGUAAUUCCAGCUCCAAUAGCGUAUAUUAAAGUUGUUGCAGUUAAAAGCUCGUAGUUGAAUUUCGGGGUUAGCAGGUUGGUCAUGCCUCUGGUAUGUACUGGUCUCACUGAUUCCUCCUUCCUGAUGAACCUUAAUGCCAUUAAUUUGGUGUUUUGGGGAAUUUGGACUGUUACUUUGAAAAAUUAGAGUGUUUAAAGCAAGCUAACGCUUGAAUACAUUAGCAUGGAAUAAUGAAAUAGGACGUUUGAUCCUAUUUUGUUGGUUUCUAGGAUUGACGUAAUGAUUAAUAGGGAUAGUUGGGGGCAUUAGUAUUCAAUUGUCAGAGGUGAAAUUCUUGGAUUUAUUGAAGACUAACUACUGCGAAAGCAUUUGCCAAGGAUGUUUUCAUUAAUCAAGAACGAAAGUUAGGGAUCGAAGACGAUCAGAUACCGUCGUAGUCUUAACCAUAAACUAUAGCCGACUAGGGAUCGGAUGAUGUUUAAUUUUUAAUGUACUCAUUCGGCGCCUUAC